rnacentral:rRNA from 1 species
UACGUAGGUGGCGAGCGUUGUCCGGAUUUAUUGGGCGUAAAGCGCGCGCAGGUGGUGUGGUCAGUCUGUCGUGAAAUCUCCCGGCUCAACUGGGAGGGUGCGGUGGAGACGGCCAGACUAGAGGCACUCAGAGGCCGGUGGAAUUCCCGGUGUAGUGGUGAAAUGCGUAGAGAUCGGGAGGAACACCAGUGGCGAAGGCGGCCGGCUGGGGGUGACCUGACGCUGAGGCGCGAAAGCGUGGGGAGCGAACAGG